CCUACGGGAGGCAGCAGUGGGGAAUAUUGGACAAUGGGGGCAACCCUGAUCCAGCCAUGCCGCGUGAGUGAUGAAGGCCUUCGGGUUGUAAAGCUCUUUUGGCGGGGACGAUGAUGACGGUACCCGCAGAAUAAGCCCCGGCUAACUUCGUGCCAGCAGCCGCGGUAAGACGAAGGGGGCUAGCGUUGUUCGGAAUUACUGGGCGUAAAGCGCGUGUAGGCGGUUUGCCAAGUCGGGUGUGAAAGCCUUGGGCUUAACCCAAGAAAUGCACUCGGUACUGGCAGACUAGAGGACCGGAGAGGAUAGUGGAAUUCCCAGUGUAGUGGUGAAAUACGUAGAGAUUGGGAAGAACACCAGUGGCGAAGGCGGCUAUCUGGACGGUUUCUGACGCUAAGACGCGAAAGCGUGGGGAGCAAACAGGAUUAGAUACCCUGGUAGUCCACGCCGUAAACGAUGGGUGCUAGACGUUGGCGAGCUUGCUCGUCAGUGUCGCAGCUAACGCGUUAAGCACCCCGCCUGGGGAGUACGGCCGCAAGGUUGAAACUUAAGAUAGUACGGCGUGAGACGNGCGACGAGCACAGGAGGUAG
rnacentral:rRNA from 1 species